rnacentral:rRNA from 1 species
AGCUUGCUUUCUCGAGCGAGUGGCGAACGGGUGAGUAACGCGUGAGGAACCUGCCUCAAAGAGGGGGACAACAGACGGAAACGACUGCUAAUACCGCAUGAGACCACAAGAUGGCAUCAUCAAGGGGUCAAAGGAGAAAUCUGGUAGUAGAGGGGCUUGCGUCUCAUUAGAUAGUUGGUGAGGUAACGGCCCACCAAGUCAACGAUGAGUAGCCGAUCUGAGAGGAUGAACGGCCACAUUGGAACUGAGAAACGGUCCAAACUCC